rnacentral:lncRNA from 1 species
CUAUCAUUACAUAUUUAAUAACUGAGAUCCUCUAUGUGUCUUAAAGUUACAGAUGCUGGAUUAUUGUUUUAGGUGAAUAUUCAAUUUAGCUCAUUAGCUUUAUAAGAUCUAUUGAUCGUCAACUUAGUGCAUGCUUAUAAAUCUGCAACACAACUGCAUAAUGCAAUGGAAAAAGUUUGCCUGAAGCUUUAUGAAGUUCCCUUGAAUCUUAAGGUACAUGUCCUCAAUUUUCACGUACUCAUGCCCAACCAAAAGGGGAAAAAUGUGCAGCCAAAAAAAAACACCAUCAUGUUUUUAAAUUACAUGUUAUGCAUUCCCUUUUUCCCAUGCCCACUCCUUUCUGGACUAAAUUACUUUGUAAAACAGUAUUUUUCAUUAACAUAUAACCCUCACAGAUUUGGAAAUCAAAUUUACGGUUUAAGAGAUUGGUAUAGCAAGUAAUCAGAUUAUUUUCCAUUGCAUGUCUUUGGUUGGGAAUGUUGUGUUCUAUCCAAUCUCCAGCUCAAAGAAAAUUAUUACCUUUUCAAACUAUGCCCUGCAGUUAAAGCCUUUAUAACCUGAGUAUUAUCCCCUUUAUAUUGUUGUUUCAAGGCCUGACAGUGAUAUUGCACAUGUUGUCUGCUUUCUUGGUUUAUUCACUGUUGCAAAACUUCAUUAAAUCUGUAACCUUUCCUUCUAUACUUUCUUGACACCCUCUUAUGUCGACUCGAAUAAUUCAAAGCUAAUUAAUCCUAAUCUUAUUCUACGCAACAGUGGUAUCACAGCCAGGUUGCGUAGAUUAAACACGUUACACUGACCAAGCUAAUGAUGUCAAUGAUUGAUGCUCUGUUUCUCAUUAGCUGCAACACAAUGUGAAUAGCAAGAAUUAUUUCAUCCAACAAAAACCAUGAUGGAGACAAUAACAUAAACCUCACCAACACAGAGAACAAAACUGACCUGAAAAAGUGCGAGAACAUUAGCAAGACAUUUAAUCGAUCUCACAUUGAGAGUUUCGUUUACCUUUGCUCAUGUAAAACCCCACAAUCUCCUG